rnacentral:rRNA from 1 species
CAACGACUCUCGGCAACGGAUAUCUCGGCUCUCGCAUCGAUGAAGAACGUAGCGAAAUGCGAUACUUGGUGUGAAUUGCAGAAUCCCGUGAACCAUCGAGUCUUUGAGCGCAAGUUGCGCCCGAAGCCGUCAGGCCGAGGGCACGUCUGCCUGGGCGUCACGC